UACGGAGGGUGCAAGCAUUGAUCGGAAUUAUUGGGCGUAAAGGGCGCGUAGGCGGAUUGGAAAGUCAGAUGUGAAAUUCCACGGCUCAACUGUGGAACUGCAUUUGAAACUUCCAGACUAGAGCAUAAUUAGGGAAAACGGAAUUCCACGUGUAGCGGUGAAAUGCGUAGAUAUGUGGAAGAACGCCAGUGGUGAAGACGGUUUUCUGGGUUAUAGCUGACGCUGAGGCGCGAGAGCUAGGGGAGCAAACAGG
rnacentral:rRNA from 1 species